rnacentral:rRNA from 1 species
CCUACGGGAGGCAGCAGUAGGGAAUAUUGCUCAAUGGGGGAAACCCUGAAGCAGCAACGCCGCGUGGAGGAUGAAGGUUUUCGGAUUGUAAACUCCUUUUGUUAGAGAAGAUAAUGACGGUAUCUAACGAAUAAGCACCGGCUAACUCCGUGACAGCAGCCGCGGUAAUACGGAGGGUGCAAGCGUUACUCGGAAUCACUGGGCGUAAAGGGCGCGUAGGCGGGAUAGCAAGUCAGAUGUGAAAUCCUAUGGCUUAACCAUAGAACUGCAUUUGAAACUGUUAUUCUAGAGUAUGGGAGAGGUAGGUGGAAUUCUUGGGGUAGGGGUAAAAUCCGUAGAGAGCAAGAGGAAUACUCAUUGCGAAGGCGACCUGCUAGAACAUAACUGACGCUGAUGCGCGAAAGCGUGGGGAGCAAACAGGAUUAGAUACCCUAGUAGUC